GAUGAACGCUGGCGGCGUGCCUAAUACAUGCAAGUCAAGCGAACAGACGAGGAGCUUGCUCCUCUGACGUUAGCGGCGGACGGGUGAGUAACACGUGGAUAACCUACCUAUAAGACUGGGAUAACUUCGGGAAACCGGAGCUAAUACCGGAUAAUAUAUUGAACCGCAUGGUUCAAUAGUGAAAGACGGUUUUGCUGUCACUUAUAGAUGGAUCCGCGCCGCAUUAGCUAGUUGGUAAGGUAACGGCUUACCGAGGCAACGAUGCGUAGCCGACCUGAGAGGGUGAUCGGCCACACUGGAACUGAGACACGGUCCAGACUCCUACGGGAGGCAGCAGUAGGGAAUCUUCCGCAAUGGGCGAAAGCCUGACGGAGCAACGCCGCGUGAGUGAUGAAGGUCUUCGGAUCGUAAAACUCUGUUAUUAGGGAAGAACAAAUGUGUAAGUAACUAUGCACGUCUUGACGGUACCUAAUCAGAAAGCCACGGCUAACUACGUG
rnacentral:rRNA from 1 species